rfam:Olsenella uli DSM 7084, complete genome.
UGACAGUUUCAGGGCGGGGCGAAACUCCCCACCGGCGGUGACGGGCCCCGUGCCCCAAGUCCGCGCGCCACGACGAAAAGAGUGGCUGACCUGGUGAGACUCCGGGACCGACGGUUACAGUCCGGACGAGAGAAACGGAAG